UCCGGCGUAGCUCAAUGGUAGAGCAAGUGGCUGUUAACCACGAGGUUGGGGGUUCGAGACCCUCCGCCGGAG
rnacentral:tRNA from 1 species